AGUGAACGCUGGCGGUAGGCCUAACACAUGCAAGUCGAACGGCAGCACAGUAAGAGCUUGCUCUUACGGGUGGCGAGUGGCGGACGGGUGAGGAAUACAUCGGAAUCUACUUUUUCGUGGGGGAUAACGUAGUGAAACUUACGCUAAUACCGCAUACGACCUACGGGUGAAAGCAGGGGAUCUUCGGACCUUGCGCGAUUGAAUGAGCCGAUGUCGGAUUAGCUAGUUGGCGGGGUAAAGGCCCACCAAGGCGACGAUCCGUAGCUGGUCUGAGAGGAUGAUCAGCCACACUGGAACUGAGACACGGUCCAGACUCCUACGGGAGGCAGCAGUGGGGAAUAUUGGACAAUGGGCGCAAGCCUGAUCCAGCCAUACCGCGUGGGUGAAGAAGGCCUUCGGGUUGUAAAGCCCUUUUGUUGGGAAAGAAAAGCAGCAGGUUAAUACCCCGCUGUUCUGACGGUACCCAAAGAAUAAGCACCGGCUAACUUCGU
rnacentral:rRNA from 1 species